rnacentral:rRNA from 1 species
GACGAACGCUGACGGUGUGCUUUAGACAUGCAAGUCGAGCGAGAAAGCCCUUCGGGGUUAGUAAAGCGGCGAACGGGUGAGUAACACGUGGGCAAUCUGCCCCUCGCAGGGGGACAACCGGGGGAACUCCGGCUAAUACCCCGUAAGUUUCCAGAGUCGCAUGGCUUUGGAAAGAAAGGUAGCUUCGGCCAUCCGGCGAGGGAUGAGCCCGCGGUACAUUAGCUAGUUGGUGGGGUAACGGCCUACCAAGGCGGCGANGUAUAGCUGGUCUGAGAGGAUGAUCAGCCACACUGAGACUGAGACACGGCCCAGACUCCUACGGGAGGCAGCAGUCGGGAAUCUUGCACAAUGGGCGAAAGCCUGAUGCAGCAACACCGUGUGAGCGA